CAUCUGUAAUUUUCCAUGGAGUCUCUCGCUUUAAUUUCUCAGCAGUUGUCAUAUCUUUGCAGCUUUCAUGGAGGCGAUAUGGUUCAAUCAUCUCUUCAAAGAAUUUCCAGCUGAAACGGGAAUUACAAAGGAGGUCUUGCUGCAGGAUCUCCUGAGAUAUUGGCUCCUGCAAGAAUGCCAGUGGCAGCUGGGAAAAAUAUGGCAAACACCGAAAAAAAUCCUUCUCCACUUCUGAAAUCUGGUCCAAAGUUUUCUGCAAAUAUUGAUGCUGCAAAUAUAGUGAAAAUGAAAUAUAACAACAGGAUUUGAUUCCAAAAUUACUUAAUGAAGGAGCAACAGAGAUGCCGAGAAGACACACCACAGUGAUGGUCCCUAUGAUUCUGAUGUCGUUGGACUCAUCUACCAUCAGUGUAUCACUCUCCUGAAAGUGCGCUGCUUUCUCCAUUCGCCACUCUCUCGACGGAGCCGGUGCUCACAGCAAUGUUCUGAAGGAUCACACAGAAAACAAAUACAUUUUUUGGGCCAGGCAGAGGACACCUGGCUGCAUAAGGGAGACAUAAUAGAAAAGAAUUCUAAAGAUCGUGUUUUACAGUCACUGGAGUAGAGAACAAUGUUCUGCUCACACCAGGUAUCAGCAGAAUGGCUUAGUCUUCAUCUCUCCUGGGGCUAAAGAUCAUGAGCUCAUCAAAUCUCCAUAACAAGUGUGGAGAGUAGCCAA